rnacentral:misc_RNA from 1 species
GGUUUCUUUGCAUCAUCAGCAUUCACACACGAUGAGGUACACUCUAUAGAAACACCAAGGGAUGGAUCACUUGGCUUGGUGCUCCUAGAUAAAUCCAUAUAAGAAUCUGGUUCCUUUUCAUGGGACUUAACUCCAAAAUUUAACACUGAUUUCCCUUUGCUGGAGGGCCUUCGUUUGGAGAGAAUGGAGCUUCCAAAAAUCCGGGAUACAUUGUCAGUGUCAG